CAGUAGCCACGGGAAUACGUAGGGUGCAAGCGUUAAUCGGAAUUACUGGGCGUAAAGCGUGCGCAGGCGGUUAUAUAAGACAGAUGUGAAAUCCCCGGGCUCAACCUGGGAACUGCAUUUGUGACUGUAUAGCUAGAGUACGGCAGAGGGGGAUGGAAUUCCGCGUGUAGCAGUGAAAUGCGUAGAUAUGCGGAGGAACACCGAUGGCGAAGGCAAUCCCCUGGGCCUGUACUGACGCUCAUGCACGAAAGCGUGGGGAGCAAACAGGAUUAGAUACCCGCGUAGUCCCUGUCUCUUAUAC
rnacentral:rRNA from 1 species